GCUCCUCGUGUGACAGAGUGAACUUGAAGUGGAUUCUCAGCGAAAAUGUGUUUUUUUUCCCAGAUGUUGUGCAGAAGAUCGUUAUUUUUUAAAAUAGCGUCAACGUGCCUGAAAAAUUUCAUUACCUAACGACCGAGAAACCUGAAACCAUGGAAAUAGCCGAAAAAGAACAUUCGAAGAAUGAACACUCACAAACUCAGUUAUGGCUCUUCUUGAAUGUUGCAUAUACAGAAUGGAAAAGAUGAAAAUGAAGCUGGACCUGAUUUUACACUGCUCUUCUGGGAUUUUUCAGCGAAUGGGAUCUGAUAUAAUCUAACUUUUGGAGGAACUCCUAUCUCUUCUGUGGUAUGAUCAUCAAACCUUAAGGUGGUAUUACUGAGGC